CCACGCCUUUUCCACACCCAAGGCCUCCGCACGCCCAGCCACGCCUCGCCUAACUUCCCGCCGCCACCCCUGUUCAAUUCGACACAAAAUUGGUACGUUUAUGCUAAUCGUGCCGCGUAAUUCACAGGCUGCCUCUGCUGUUGCUGGCGCUGUGUCGUGAGUUCUGUUGAGACUCGUUUACCUGUGCUGUCUACCGAGGGAUCGCGCAGGUAAAGGUGGUGAGCGGACAGGUGAGAUUUCUUGGGUUUCCAUUUUUUCAUUUGUUUUGCUUGUUUUCUUGUGGUGCUUCAUAUUGCUUUCUUAUUUCUUGUUGAUUAAGGUCCAAAUUGCUUUCUUUUUUCUUGUUAAUUAAGGUCCAUAUUGCUUUCUUUUUUCUUGUUAAUUAAGGUCCAUAUUACUUUCUUUUUUCUUGUUAAUUAAGGUCCACAUUGCUUUCUUUUUUCUUGUUAAUUAAGGUCCAUAUUGCUUUCUUUUUUCUUGUUGAUUAAGGUCCAUAUUGCUUUCUUUUUUCUUGUUAAUUAAGGUCCAAAUUGCUUUCUUUUUUCUUGUUAAUUAAGGUCCAAAUUGCUUUCUUUUUUCUUGUUAAUUAAGGUCCAUAUUGCUUUCUUUUUUCUUGUUAAUUAAGGUCCAUAUUGCUUUCUUUUUUCUUGUUAAUUAAGGUCCAAAUUGCUUUCUUUUUUCUUGUUGAUUAAGGUCCAUAUUGCUUUCUUUUUUCUUGUUGAUUAAGGUCCAAAUUGCUUUCUUUUUUCUUGUUAAUUAAGGUCCAAAUUGCUUUCUUUUUUCUUGUUAAUUAAGGUCCAUAUUGCUUUCUUUUUUCUUGUUAAUUAAGGUCCAUAUUGCUUUCUUUUUUCUUGUUAAUUAAGGUCCAAAUUGCUUUCUUUUUUCUUGUUAAUUAAGGUCCAUAUUGCUUUCUUUUUUCUUGUUGAUUAAGGUCCAUAUUGCUUUCUUUUUUCUUGUUGAUUAAGGUCCAUAUUGC